rnacentral:snRNA from 1 species
AUUCAGCCCUUUGUCGCUA